rnacentral:lncRNA from 1 species
GAUGAUGUUCCUUUCUUGGUUGCACAAACACCGCAUGUUCUUCUUCUUCUGUUUCUAAAUUUAUCACCUCUCCAAGGUAAUAAUUAAUUUUCUUAGAAUAAACAGGAAAUUGAGGUUGACUUUCUUCUAAAGGAACCAUAGUCACAUGUCUAAAUAUUUAUCUCAUCUGCCUAUUGUGACUAUCUCUUCUUUUCUCAACUUCUUCCAAUCCCUCUUCUUCUUUCUCUUCUUCACGAAGCUCAUUGUUCUCACUUACCUCUUCUUCAUCACUGCUAAUCUCAUUCACUUCUUCCUCUACUUUUCUUUUCUUCCUUACUUCAACAACACGACAUUCCUCCUUAGGAUUAACAUCA